rnacentral:lncRNA from 1 species
CCGGGUGCGUCGUCAGGGUAAGUGUCUCUCGCUAUACAUGAGUUACCCGUCAUGUAAAUCGACACUCAGUCAAAAUGUCAAAAUCUGGUAUUAAAAUUUUGAUAAAAUCGAUGAAAUUACAGAUCAGACAACGAUACUGGUAUAUAUAGAUCUAAGACCACAGAGAGUUGAGACAACUACAUAUUGUAUCGGUCAAUCUAUCC